GUGCUUGCUUCAGCAGCACAUAUACUAAAAUUGGAAUAAUACAGAGAAGAUUAGCAUGGCCCUUGCCUAAGGAUGACAUGUAAAUUCAUGAAGCACUCCAUAUUUUU
ensembl:snRNA U6 U6 spliceosomal RNA